AACGAACGUUAGCGGCGCGCUUAACACAUGCAAGUCGCACGAGAAAGGGCUUCGGCCCCGGUAAAGUGGCGCACGGGUGAGUAACACGUGGAUAACCUACCCUCGAGCAGGGGAUAACAUCCCGAAAGGGGUGCUAAUACCGCAUAAGACCACGGCUUCGAAAGGAGCUGAGGUAAAAGCUGGCCUCUAUAUAUAAGCUAGCGCUUGAGGACGGGUCCGCGGCGCAUCAGGUAGUUGGCGGGGUAAUGGCCCACCAAGCCUAAGACGCGUAGCUGGUCUGAGAGGAUGAUCAGCCACACUGGAACUGAGACACGGUCCAGACUCCUACGGGAGGCAGCAGUGGGGAAUCUUGCGCAAUGGACGAAAGUCUGACGCAGCGACGCCGCGUGUGUGAUGAAGGCCUUCGGGUCGUAAAGCACUGUGGGGAGAGAAGAAUAAGCAAAGGCCAAUACCCUUUGUGAUGACGGUAUCUCCUUAGCAAGCACCGGCUAACUCUGUG
rnacentral:rRNA from 1 species